rnacentral:lncRNA from 1 species
GCGCUGCGCCCGCAUCCGCGACACGCGCUGCGCGUGCUCUACACCGCCGGCAAUGACGGGCGUGUACGGUGCUGGCGGAUCCGGCAGUACAGAUGACCGUGGUCGGCGCCGGGCUCGCCGGGACACGCGCCGCCGCGCCGCCCGCCGCCGCGCCGCGCCUGGAGGUGACGCACGCGCACGCACCGACACCAAGCACACACGGGUUACACCGACGGUUGUUUUGUGUUGACCUUGCGUACAUAUCAUGGUAUUGCGUGACAGUGAGUACCUUCACACUACAAUUGUAUUAUGCAAUUAGACGUAAAAUGGUUUUAAGCGAACAAGAUGAGUAAUAAUCGUCAUAGUUGUGUUUUGUUGUACUCACAAACACGCAAUAUUGAGGAAGAGAUCUAAUAAAUUAUUAUUUUGCUUUUGUGUAACAAAAGUAUGUUUUCGAUACAAGGUGUCGAAAUAAAGUUUUGCGCUUUGACACGCUUUCAAGACAUGUGAAAUAUAUCAGACGCUAUAUGAAAUUGUUUUGAAUUAACUAAAUCUUAAUAACAGUGUUAUAUGUGGACGGCUUAUUAUAACGAAUAGUAUUAAUUAAACAAUUAAAAGACAAUUAUAAUCUUUAGUAAAAAUUGAGGCGCGCUCAAAGUUAUUCUUUAUAUAUUACGCCUUAUGCUAAUCAAAAGGAACUAUAUAUUUUACUAACAAGACUAAUGUUACACAUACAAAAUCAGUCGAUGCUCGAUACUAAUAUAUGACAGAAUCGAUAAAGACAAAAAUACUCAGUAGUAAUAUAAUAGUUUCGUAUUCUUAUGGACAGCGUAUGUCACCUCCCUAGAUUUUAUCGACAGUCUAUUGAUAAGACCCGUAAUUGUGAACUGGAACAUAAGUUCUUAUAAAUAAGAAUUCGAAUAAUAUUCUUUAAGAUUCGAAUAUUUAUAUCGAUUAUAGUAUCGAGUUGUCGGAUAGAUUCACGACGUAGCGACGUAGACUCGUAGUUAGAGCGUGUGAGCGUAAUGUCAGAUUACAGCUAGUUGGAAACCAUGGCCUUCACCGAUAAUAAUGUGUAAAUAUAUGUAACUGAGUAGUGAUGAGUGGACAUUACUUCAAUUAAAUAAAAAUAGCUUAAUAUUAUAAAGCGCUAAAAGAAAUUAUGUAUUUGAAAUGGGUAGAUCUUCAUCGAUUAUUUUUAUCGAUAUUAAUUGGCAAAGGCUAUAAUUUAUUUUUAAUUUCGUAACUGUCCACUCACCGAUACUCAUUCGUGUAAGUGUAUGUAGGCUUAAAGUUUUAUAGUCGGUAUACUGUGUAGCCUUAGCUUAGCUGUUUCAAUUCCUGUGAUUAAUUUUAAUGAAUGGUACCUAUUAUAUAGUAGGAUAGUAGUCACGUCAAUUUGAAAACAAAUUAAUUGGAAAUUUUCGCGUUAAGAGUCGAUAAAUGUUAGUAUUGGUGUAAUUUUUAUAAAUUUGUAAGUGAUUCUUUAUAUAUUUAGGAUCCAUUGGAGACAUGUUAAUCAUAAUCCAAGAAAAUUCACAAUAUUGGGUUCGUCUAAAUGGGCUUAAAAUGACUUUACUAGGUCCAUAACUUGCAAACAAAUCCUAUAAUAUCGCAAACGAUUAUAGGCUAUGGUAACCACUUUACCAUAGAUAAUACACUAAUAUAGGAACACUACAUCAGGUGGGCCGCAUGUAACAGUAAGUGUCAAAUAACCGCAAGAUGUAUUUCUAACAUAGUAACAUUUCCUUUCGUUAUUUGAAUUUUACUUAUUUAAAAGCCAAUAUAAUUAAUGCCAAAUUUACAAAAAAGAAAUAAAAAAUAGACGACCUUUGUAACCCAAUAAAGUAAAAAUGAUUUCUAUCAUUUUUUUUACAAUUUACUAUUAAAAUUGAUGACGUUUUGAAGAUAAACAAUCUCUAAACAAUUUACACCAAAAGGAAUUGAAAAAAAUGAAUUUAUUACAUCUGUAUUAAAGCCCAGUGACUGGUACAAAUUCCUAUGCCUUUUUUAAUUUGAUUCUCCUAUAAAUAGUGGACCAUAGGCAUCCGAAAAUGUUUUGAUAACCUACAAAAUUACGGCAAGAAUCUAGAAAUUUUUUGAAUGUAGAAAAUAUUCUAUGUAAUUUGCAAGACCUUCGUAUGUAUAUGCAGUGGUAUGUGUUAAAAUCAUCAAGGUUUACGUAACUUGGUUCAACUUGUAAAUUAAUUUCUUAAUGAAAAUUUAAGUUAUGACAACAUGUUUGGUAAUGAACCCCCAAUACUAUCACUGCAUACGCAAGCAAUUCCUAUAGAUGAAGGUAAUAAAGUAUGUUAUAGUCUAUCAAGCGACAAUCGUAACGAAACCGCACACCUCCACUACGAAUAGAACUGAUCCGUGAAUUACGAUAAACUGUGAUUAAUCGAAUUAUAUUUUUAUUACAUUCCUGCGCUACGGGUAGAUUAGCAACAGCAUAACGUUUAAACAUUUUGUAGUUAGAUAUAAACGAGACGCCAUAUUGGCUUUCUGAUAUUAGUUCUUAUAUUGCACGCUAUACUCGCUUUUGUAUUCUAUCUAUAUUUUUUAUUGUUGUGUUCUCUUUGAUUUCACUGCCUACCUUCCUCUUAUUGAGUUAUUUAUUGUUUCU